GUCCCUUUGGGGUCAUCCGAUAAAAUUGGAACGAUGCAGAGAAGAUUAGCAUGAUCCCUUUGGGGUCAUCCGAGAAAUUGUCUAAAUUUUU
rnacentral:snRNA from 2 species